rnacentral:rRNA from 1 species
CCCUUAGAUGUUCUGGGCUGCACGCGCGCUACACUGAUGCACUCAACGAGUUUACGACCUUGCCCGAUAGGGUUGGGUAAUCUUUUUAAAAUGCAUCGUGAUGGGGAUAGAUUAUUGCAAUUAUUAAUCUUCAACGAGGAAUUCCUAGUAAGCGCGAGUCAUCAGCUCGUGCUGAUUACGUCCCUGCCCUUUGUACACACCGCCCGUCGCUCCUACCGAUUGAGUGCUCAGGUGAAUAAUUCGGACUGCAGCAAUGUUUGGAUCCCGAACGUUGCAGCGGAAAGUCUAGUGAACCUUAUCACUUAGAGGAAGGAGAAGUCGUAACA